rnacentral:rRNA from 1 species
GUAGGGAAUAUUGGGCAAUGGAUGCAAGUCUGACCCAGCCAUCCCGCGUGCCGGAAGAAGGCCCUCAGGGUUGUAAACGGCUUUUGACGGUGAAGAAUCGACAGGAUGCGUCCUGUUUUGACGGUAGCCGUUGAAUAAGCACCGGCUAACUCCGUGCCAGCAGCCGCGGUAAUACGGAGGGUGCGAGCGUUGUCCGGAUUUAUUGGGUUUAAAGGGUGCGUAGGCUGGAAGGUCAGUCAGCGGUGAAAAGCUGUCGCUUAACGAUAGUCUUGCCGCAGAUACUUCCUUUCUUGGAUGAGGAGGAGGCCACUGGAACGGAUGGUGUAGCGGUGAAAUGCAUAGAUAUCAUCCAGAACACCGAUUGAGAAGGCAGGUGGCUGUACCUUAAUCGACGCUGAUGCACGAAAGCAUGGGGAGCAAACAGGAUUAGAUACCCUUGUAGUCC